AGCAGGGCAUGUAGUUAAUUUAAGCUUAUAAGUUAAUACACAAAGAAACUAAACAGGAUGGACUGAGUAGUGGCGAAUGAAAAGUCCAAAGACCGAUCCGAAUUCAAGUUGUGGAUCCUACACUUCGGAAGACUCCAAACUACCUGGAACGGUAGGCCGCAGAGAGUGAUAGCCUCUUUAGAGUCGGAAGAAGCGUAAACAGACUGAGUAGUAUUUGUUGGGAAGCAAAUACGAACGGGUGAUAAAAGUCAUCCAAGUCUAAACAGAUCAGUACACCGAUAGCAAACAAGUAUUGCGAAUAAAACAUGAAAAGUACUCCUGGAGGAGGGUUAAACUCCUAAAAAGCUAAAAAUAAAGUCGUUGGUGUCGCUGCGGGUUCAACCCUGCUCCAUCUGUCUUUUAGACUUUUGGCUACCGACAUCAACCUACCCGUCUUGAAACACGGACCGAGGAGUCUAACAUGCCCGCGAGUUCAACAUUGCAGAUGAUGGGCGUGCGAAAGCGAAAAGUAUUUCACUACUAGCGGAGCGCGUAUGUUAGGUCCCGAAAAAUGGCGAACUAUUUCUGCUCAGGCUGAAGUCAUUGGAAACUUUGAUGGAAGGUCUCAACGGUUUUGACGUGCAAAUCGAUCGUGUGAAGCAGGUAUAGGGGCGAAAGACCAAUCGAGCCAUUUAGUUGCUGGUUCUCUCUGAAGUUUCCCUCAGGAUAGCGGUCCCUACAGAAUAAUGUGCGGUAAAGAGAAUGAUUAGAGGUAUCUGGGAAAGCUUUUCCUAGGCCGAUUUUCAAACUCAGAAUGCGCAUCAAUGAUUUCUCCAUGAAUUGUUAAAUUAUCUUAGGGAUCAGUGGGCCUUUUUUGGUAAGCAGAUCGGGCGAUGAGGGUUCCUCCUAGAGUCGAGAUAACGUGCUCAAAGCUACAUCAAUUAAAUGAUGUCAGUGCAUACUGACAGCAGGAGGGUGGCCAUGGAAGUUGGAAUCCACUAAGGAGUGUGUUACAACUCACCUGCCGAAUGUACUGGCUCAGAAAAUUGAUAGCUAACCCGUAGCAACUAAUUCUCGACGCUAAGUAAGAGAGCGUAGUGGUCGGAUAGAAUCCAGAGCGUGAGCCUUGGUCGACCGGCCACCAUUGCAGAUCUCGGUGGUAGUAGCACUUGCUAAAAUGGAACCUUUUAGGACCACUUGGACGAAGGUUCCACGACAACAGCCAAUGUUCGUGGGUAAGUCGGCCUUAAUCGCGCAGUCGAGAAAAGCAACCAGGUUAAUAUUCCUGGACAACACAGGAAAACGGCAACGUUUGCGCGGGUAUUUGUUAGGUGUUGGAAGGAGGGGGACUUUCGUCCCUCUUAACAGCUGUACGCCUCUGGAACUGUGUGAAACAGAGAUAGAGGCAGACACUGGAAUAAGUACCUCUUGCGGGUACUCCUGAGCCAGCACUUGACCUCUGAAAAAUACCCGCGUUCUGUGGUGUAGCCGUACCAAUAGCCGCAUCAGGUCUCCGAGACGCAAAGUCUUCGGUUCAAUGGAUGAAUGUAAGCAAGGGAAGUCGACAAGUUCGAUCCGUAACUUCGGGAAAAGGAUUGGCUUCGUGGACUUAGUGAGGAAUGUCUGUCCUAGCGAGGAAUGUGACUCUACCGAGUUGCUCCUACGCUGGGCACAGCAACCUCACUAGCAAUACAUGAAACUGACGCGCAAACGAGGAAUCUGACUGUUUAAUCGAAACGUAGCAUCAUGCAGCGUGGUGUGGACAUGAUGUGAUUUCUGCUCAGUGCUUUGAAAGUUAAAGUUGAGCAACCGACAGAAGCGCAGGUCAACAGCGGGAGUAACUAUGACUCUCUUAAGGUAGCGAAAUGCCUCGUCAUCUAAUUAGUGACGUGCAUGAAUGGAUUAACGAGAUUCCUACUGUCCCUAUCUACUAUCUAGCGAACCCACAGCCAAGGGAACGGGCUUGGAAGAAUCAGCGGGGAAAGAAGACCCUGUUGAGCUUGACUCUAGUCCGACGUUGUGAAAUGACUUAUGAGGUGUAGAAUAAGUGGGAGCUUCGGCGCACCUGAAAUACCACUACUCGUAAUGUUGUUUUACUUAUCUCGUGACGUAGCACCCAGC
rnacentral:rRNA from 1 species